rnacentral:rRNA from 1 species
GCGGUGGAGUAUGUGGUUUAAUUCGAUGCAACGCGAAGAACCUUACCUGGUCUUGACAUCCCGGAGACCCUUAGGAAACUAGGGGGUGCUUCCAUCUGGAAGAAUCUGGAGACAGGUGCUGCAUGGCUGUCGUCAGCUCGUGUCGUGAGAUGUUGGGUUAAGUCCCGCAACGAGCGCAACCCUUGCCUUUAGUUGCCAGCAGUUCGGCUGGGCACUCUAAAGGGACUGCCGGUGUUAAACCGGAGGAAGGUGGGGAUGACGUCAAGUCCUCAUGGCCUUUAUGACCAGGGCUACACACGUACUACAAUGGCCGAUACAAAGGGCAGCGACACUGCGAGGUGAAGCCAAUCCCGUAAAAUCGGUCUCAGUCCGGAUUGGAGUCUGCAACUCGACUCCAUGAAGUUGGAAUCGCUAGUAAUCGUGGAUCAGCAUGCCACGGUGAAUACGUUCCCGGGCCUC